UUAAGUUAUUAAGGGCGCACGGUGGAUGCCUUGGCACUAGAAGCCGAUGAAGGACGUUACUAACGACGAUAUGCUUUGGGGAGCUGUAAGUAAGCUUUGAUCCAGAGAUUUCCGAAUGGGGAAACCCAGCAUGAGUUAUGUCAUGUUAUCGAUAUGUGAAUACAUAGCAUAUCAGAAGGCACACCCGGAGAACUGAAACAUCUUAGUACCCGGAGGAAGAGAAAGAAAAUUCGAUUCCCUUAGUAGCGGCGAGCGAAACGGGAAGAGCCCAAACCAACAAGCUUGCUUGUUGGGGUUGUAGGACACUCUAUACGGAGUUACAAAGGACGACAUUAGACGAAUCAUCUGGAAAGAUGAAUCAAAGAAGGUAAUAAUCCUGUAGUCGAAAAUGUUGUCUCUCUUGAGUGGAUCCUGAGUACGACGGAGCACGUGAAAUUCCGUCGGAAUCUGGGAGGACCAUCUCCUAAGGCUAAAUACUCUCUAGUGACCGAUAGUGAACCAGUACCGUGAGGGAAAGGUGAAAAGCACCCCGAAAGGGGAGUGAAAUAGAACCUGAAACCGUGUGCUUACAAGUAGUCAGAGCCCGUUAAUGGGUGAUGGCGUGCCUUUUGUAGAAUGAACCGGCGAGUUACGAUUUGAUGCAAGGUUAAGCAGUAAAUGUGGAGCCGUAGCGAAAGCGAGUCUGAAUAGGGCGUUUAGUAUUUGGUCGUAGACCCGAAACCAGGUGAUCUACCCUUGGUCAGGUUGAAGUUCAGGUAACACUGAAUGGAGGACCGAACCGACUUACGUUGAAAAGUGAGCGGAUGAACUGAGGGUAGCGGAGAAAUUCCAAUCGAACCUGGAGAUAGCUGGUUCUCUCCGAAAUAGCUUUAGGGCUAGCCUCAAGUGAUGAUUAUUGGAGGUAGAGCACUGUUUGGACGAGGGGCCCCUCUCGGGUUACCGAAUUCAGACAAACUCCGAAUGCCAAUUAAUUUAACUUGGGAGUCAGAACAUGGGUGAUAAGGUCCGUGUUCGAAAGGGAAACAGCCCAGACCACCAGCUAAGGUCCCAAAAUAUAUGUUAAGUGGAAAAGGAUGUGGCGUUGCCCAGACAACUAGGAUGUUGGCUUAGAAGCAGCCAUCAUUUAAAGAGUGCGUAAUAGCUCACUAGUCGAGUGACACUGCGCCGAAAAUGUACCGGGGCUAAACAUAUUACCGAAGCUGUGGAUUGUCCUUUGGACAAUGGUAGGAGAGCGUUCUAAGGGCAUUGAAGCAUGAUCGUAAGGACAUGUGGAGCGCUUAGAAGUGAGAAUGCCGGUGUGAGUAGCGAAAGACGGGUGAGAAUCCCGUCCACCGAUUGACUAAGGUUUCCAGAGGAAGGCUCGUCCGCUCUGGGUUAGUCGGGUCCUAAGCUGAGGCCGACAGGCGUAGGCGAUGGAUAACAGGUUGAUAUUCCUGUACCACCUAUAAUCGUUUUAAUCGAUGGGGGGACGCAGUAGGAUAGGCGAAGCGUGCGAUUGGAUUGCACGUCUAAGCAGUAAGGCUGAGUAUUAGGCAAAUCCGGUACUCGUUAAGGCUGAGCUGUGAUGGGGAGAAGACAUUGAGUCUUCGAGUCGUUGAUUUCACACUGCCGAGAAAAGCCUCUAGAUAGAAAAUAGGUGCCCGUACCGCAAACCGACACAGGUAGUCAAGAUGAGAAUUCUAAGGUGAGCGAGCGAACUCUCGUUAAGGAACUCGGCAAAAUGACCCCGUAACUUCGGGAGAAGGGGUGCUCUUUAGGGUUAACGCCCAGAAGAGCCGCAGUGAAUAGGCCCAAGCGACUGUUUAUCAAAAACACAGGUCUCUGCUAAACCGUAAGGUGAUGUAUAGGGGCUGACGCCUGCCCGGUGCUGGAAGGUUAAGAGGAGUGGUUAGCUUCUGCGAAGCUACGAAUCGAAGCCCCAGUAAACGGCGGCCGUAACUAUAACGGUCCUAAGGUAGCGAAAUUCCUUGUCGGGUAAGUUCCGACCCGCACGAAAGGCGUAACGAUUUGGGCACUGUCUCAACGAGAGACUCGGUGAAAUCAUAGUACCUGUGAAGAUGCAGGUUACCCGCGACAGGACGGAAAGACCCCGUGGAGCUUUACUGUAGCCUGAUAUUGAAAUUCGGCACAGCUUGUACAGGAUAGGUAGGAGCCUUUGAAACGUGAGCGCUAGCUUACGUGGAGGCGCUGGUGGGAUACUACCCUAGCUGUGUUGGCUUUCUAACCCGCACCACUUAUCGUGGUGGGAGACAGUGUCAGGCGGGCAGUUUGACUGGGGCGGUCGCCUCCUAAAAGGUAACGGAGGCGCUCAAAGGUUCCCUCAGAAUGGUUGGAAAUCAUUCAUAGAGUGUAAAGGCAUAAGGGAGCUUGACUGCGAGACCUACAAGUCGAGCAGGGUCGAAAGACGGACUUAGUGAUCCGGUGGUUCCGCAUGGAAGGGCCAUCGCUCAACGGAUAAAAGCUACCCCGGGGAUAACAGGCUUAUCUCCCCCAAGAGUUCACAUCGACGGGGAGGUUUGGCACCUCGAUGUCGGCUCAUCGCAUCCUGGGGCUGUAGUCGGUCCCAAGGGUUGGGCUGUUCGCCCAUUAAAGCGGUACGCGAGCUGGGUUCAGAACGUCGUGAGACAGUUCGGUCCCUAUCCGUCGUGGGCGUAGGAAAUUUGAGAGGAGCUGUCCUUAGUACGAGAGGACCGGGAUGGACAUACCUCUGGUGUACCAGUUGUCGUGCCAACGGCAUAGCUGGGUAGCUAUGUGUGGACGGGAUAAGUGCUGAAAGCAUCUAAGCAUGAAGCCCCCCUCAAGAUGAGAUUUCCCAACUUCGGUUAUAAGAUCCCUCAAAGAUGAUGAGGUUAAUAGGUUCGAGGUGGAAGCAUGGUGACAUGUGGAGCUGACGAAUACUAAUCGAUCGAAGACUUAAUCAA
rnacentral:rRNA from 1 species